ensembl:rRNA 5S_rRNA 5S ribosomal RNA
GCCAACAGCCAUAUCAAUCUGCAACUCACAACUGGCAACCCACUGAAGCUAAGCAGGUGUGAGCCUGGUCAGUACCUGGAUGGGAGACCUCCUGGGAAAAACUAAGGUUGCUGCUGGAA